GAUUUCUUCGGAAUGAAAAAAAGUGGAUUAGUGGCGGACGGGUGAGUAACGCGUGAGUAACCUGCCUUAGAGAAGGGGAUAGCCUUUGGAAACGAAGAAUAAUACCCUAUGAAACCAUAACCUCGCAUGAGGCCUUGGUCAAAGAUUUAUCGCUCUAAGAUGGACUUGCGUCUGAUUAGUUAGUUGGUGGGGUAACGGCCUACCAAGACAGCGAUCAGUAGCCGGCUUGAGAGAGUGUACGGCCACAUUGGGACUGAGACACGGCCCAGACUCCUACGGGAGGCAGCAGUGGGGAAUUUUGCACAAUGGGGGAAACCCUGAUGCAGCGACGCCGCGUGAUUUAGAAGGCCUUCGGGUUGUAAAAAUCUUUUCUAUGGGAAGAAAAUGACAGUACCAUAGGAAUAAGGACCGGCUAAUUACGUGCCAGCAGCCGCGGUAAUACGUAAGGUCCGAGCGUUGUCCGGAAUCAUUGGGCGUAAAGGGUACGUAGGCGGGUAAGCAAGUUAGAAGUGAAAUCCUAUAGCUCAACUAUAGUAAGCUUUUAAAACUGCUCAUCUUGAGGUAUGGAAGGGAAAGUGGAAUUCC
rnacentral:rRNA from 1 species